rnacentral:rRNA from 1 species
GAUGAACGCUGGCGGCGUGCCUAAUACAUGCAAGUCGAGCGAACGGACGAGAAGCUUGCGUCUCUGAUGUUAGCGGCGGACGGGUGAGUAACACGUGGAUAACCUACCUAUAAGACUGGGAUAACUUCGGGAAACCGGAGCUAAUACCGGAUGAUAUUUUGAACCGCAUGGUUCAAAAGUUAAAGACGGUCUUGCUGUCACUUAUAGAUGGAUCCGCGCUGCAUUAGCUAGUUGGUAAGGUAACGGCCUACCAAGGCAACGAUGCAUAGCCGACCUGAGAGGGUGAUCAGCCACACUGGAACUGAGACACGGUCCAGACUCCUACGGGAGGCAGCAGUAGGGAAUCUUCCGCAAUGGGCGAAAGCCUGACGCAGCAACGCCGCGUGAGUGAUGAAGGUCUUCGGAUCGUAAAACUCUGUUAUUAGGGAAGAACAUAUGUGUAAGUAACUGUGCACAUCUUGACGGUACCUAAUCAGAAAGCCCCGGCUAACUACGUG